UACGUAGGGUGCGAGCGUUGUCCGGAAUUAUUGGGCGUAAAGAGCUCGUAGGCGGUUUGUCGCGUCGACUGUGAAAACCUACAGCUUAACUGUGGGCUUGCAGUCGAUACGGGCAGACUUGAGUUCGGUAGGGGAGACUGGAAUUCCUGGUGUAGCGGUGAAAUGCGCAGAUAUCAGGAGGAACACCGGUGGCGAAGGCGGGUCUCUGGGCCGUAACUGACGCUGAGGAGCGAAAGCGUGGGGAGCGAACAGG
rnacentral:rRNA from 1 species